rnacentral:tRNA from 1 species
GCGUCUGUAGCUCAGUCGGAUAGAGCAACUGCCUUCUAAGCAGUGGGCCAGGGGUUCGAAUCCCUUCAGACGCGCCA